CGGGGCGUGGCGCAGAUGGUAGCGCGCUUGGUUCGGGACUAAGAGGUCGCUGGUUCAAAUCCAGUCGCCCCGA
rnacentral:tRNA from 1 species